UACGAAGGGGGCUAGCGUUGUUCGGAAUUACUGGGCGUAAAGCGCGCGCGGGCGGUUCUUUAAGUCAGGGGUGAAAGCCCAGAGCUCAACUCUGGAAUUGCCUUUGAAACUAGAGAACUUGGGUACGGGAGAGGUGAGUGGAAUUCCGAGUGUAGAGGUGAAAUUCGUAGAUAUUCGGAAGAACACCAGUGGCGAAGGCGGCUCACUGGCCCGUUACCGACGCUCAGGCGCGACAGCGUGGGGAGCAAACAGG
rnacentral:rRNA from 1 species